rnacentral:rRNA from 1 species
GACGAACGCUGGCGGCGUGCUUAACACAUGCCAGUCGAACGGAAAGGCCCUGCUUUUGUGGGGUGCUCGAGUGGCGAACGGGUGAGUAACACGUGAGUAACCUGCCCUUGACUUUGGGAUGACUUCAGGAAACUGGGGCUAAUACCGGAUAGGAGCUCCUGCUGCAUGGUGGGGGUUGGAAAGUUUCGGCGGUUGGGGAUGGACUCGCGGCUUAUCAGCUUGUUGGUGGGGUAGUGGCUUACCAAGGCUUUGACGGGUAGCCGGCCUGAGAGGGUGACCGGCCACAUUGGGACUGAGAUACGGCCCAGACUCCUACGGGAGGCAGCAGUGGGGAAUAAUGCACAAUGGGCGGAAGCCUGAUGCAGCAACGCCGCGUGCGGGAUGACGGCCUUCGGGUUGUAAACCGCUUUCGCCUGUGACGAAGCGUGAGUGACGGUAAUGGGUAAAGAAGCACCGGCUAACUACGUG